UUCAAACAGAUGCUCAAUGGAGACGGUGGG
rnacentral:piRNA from 1 species